UACGGGGGGGGGCAAGCGUUUGUUCGGAAUUACUGGGCGUAAAGCGUGCGCAGGCGGUUCGCUAAGACCGAUGUGAAAUCCCCGGGCUUAACCUGGGAACUGCAUUGGUGACUGGCGGGCUAGAGUAUGGCAGAGGGGGGUAGAAUUCCACGUGUAGCAGUGAAAUGCGUAGAGAUGUGGAGGAAUACCGAUGGCGAAGGCAGCCCCCCUGGGCCAAUACUGACGCUCAUGCACGAAAGCGUGGGGAGCAAACAGG
rnacentral:rRNA from 1 species